UGGCAUUCCAGUUGACUAAAUAACUCAUAAACCCAUCUAGAAAUUAAAGGAAUAUAAUUGAAAGAAACUCUGAGAAUGUUUCUGUUAGAGAAAAUGCUAUAUAGCAGGAUCUCCAAAAUGUGAAUAUUUUUUGUGGUGUUGUUUUCCUUGCAGGGAAGCUGUUGAUUUGAGGAAUUUGAAGGUUUCUGGAAGAAGGAUUUGGAAAAUUUGAAGUGAACCUCUUUUGGGAAUUAAAAGUGCUAGGUCCCUUCUCAUGGGAUCGAAUAGCAGAGUCCUGGCUACGGGUUCAAAUGCCCUGCUGAAAUCCUCAGACAAUUCCAACAUCCACAAAGCUACGAAAGGAGCAAUGCCUCUGAGAACCUUGGAAAGGGGAAAGGGAGCAAUGUCAUCUGCACUCAGUCAUGGAGGAAACAGCUGGACAAGUCAGCACAGGGAGGUGGUGACCAGUAGAGGAGACUUGGAGUUCUUCAGGUACCUGGAGAUCACUGAAUACUGGCCUUCCAGACCCCUUUAUACCAGGUUCGCUAUCCUGAGGGAAAUGGCCUGCCUGAAAGGGACUAAAUGA
rnacentral:lncRNA from 10 species